GGUGAACGCUGGCGGUAGGCCUAACACAUGCAAGUCGAACGGCAGCACAGUAAGAGCUUGCUCUUACGGGUGGCGAGUGGCGGACGGGUGAGGAAUACAUCGGCAUCUACUUUUUCGUGGGGGAUAACGUAGGGAAACUUACGCUAAUACCGCAUACGACCUACGGGUGAAAGCAGGGGAUCUUCGGACCUUGCGCGAUUGAAUGAGCCGAUGUCGGAUUAGCUAGUUGGCGGGGUAAAGGCCCACCAAGGCGACGAUCCGUAGCUGGUCUGAGAGGAUGAUCAGCCACACUGGAACUGAGACACGGUCCAGACUCCUACGGGAGGCAGCAGUGGGGAAUAUUGGACAAUGGGCGCAAGCCUGAUCCAGCCAUACCGCGUGGGUGAAGAAGGCCUUCGGGUUGUAAAGCCCUUUUGUUGGGAAAGAAAAGCAGCAGGUUAAUACCCCGCUGUUCUGACGGUACCCAAAGAAUAAGCACCGGCUAACUUCGUG
rnacentral:rRNA from 1 species